rfam:Macaca mulatta chromosome 16, whole genome shotgun sequence.
GCCGGGUGCGGUGGCUCACGCCUGUAAUCCCGGCACUUUGGGAGGCUGAGGCGGGUGGAUUACUAGAGGUCAGGAAUUCAGGACCAGCCUGACCAACAUGGUGAAACCCCGUCUCUA